rnacentral:rRNA from 1 species
GGAGGGGAACAACAGUUGGAAACGACUGCUAAUGCCCCAUAUGCCGAGAGGUGAAACGGUUAAUUCCGCCUGAGGAUGAACUCGCGUCUGAUUAGCUAGUUGGUAGUGUAAUGGACUACCAAGGCGACGAUCAGUAGCUGGUCUAAGAGGAUGAUCAGCCACACUGGGACUGAGACACGGCCCAAACUCCUACGGGAGGCAGCAGUGGGGAAUUUUCCGCAAUGGGCGAAAGCCUGACGGAGCAACGCCGCGUGAGGGAGGAAGGCCCCU